CGUAACGCGUAUGCAAUCUACCUUUAACUGGGGAAUAGCCCAAAGAAUUUGGAUUAAUACCGCAUAACACUAUUGAAUGGCAUCAUUCGAUAUUCAAAACUACGGUGGUUAAAGAUGAGCAUGCGUGACAUUAGCUAGUUGGUAAGGUAACGGCUUACCAAGGCUUCGAUGUCUAGGGGGUCUGAGAGGAUGAUCCCCCACACUGGUACUGAGACACGGACCAG
rnacentral:rRNA from 1 species